GACGGGGGGUCCUAGCGUUGUUCGGAAUUAUUGGGCGUAAAGCGUGUGCAGGUUGUCUGAAAAGUUAGAUGUGAAAUCCUUGGGCUCAACCCAAGACGUGCAUUUAAAACUGUCAGACUUGAGUAUGGAAGAGGAUUGUGGAAUUCCAGGUGUAGUGGUGAAAUACGUAGAUAUCUGGAGGAACACCGGCGGCGAAGGCGGCAAUCUGGUCCAAUACUGACACUCAUACACGAAAGCGUGGGGAUCAAACAGG
rnacentral:rRNA from 1 species